GACGAACGCUGGCGGCGUGCUUAACACAUGCAAGUCGAACGGAAAGGCCCCCACUUUUUUGGUGGGGGUGCUCGAGUGGCGAACGGGUGAGUAACACGUGGGUGAUCUGCCCUGCACUUCGGGAUAAGCUUGGGAAACUGGGUCUAAUACCGGAUAGGACCAUGGUUUAGUGUCUCAUGGUGGAAAAAUUAUUGUUUUGGUGCAGGAUGAGCCCGCGGCCUAUCAGCUUGUUGGUGGGGUAAUGGCCUACCAAGGCGUCGACGGGUAGCCGGCCUGAGAGGGUGGACGGCCACAUUGGGACUGAGAUACGGCCCAGACUCCUACGGGAGGCAGCAGUGGGGAAUAUUGCACAAUGGGCGCAAGCCUGAUGCAGCGACGCCGCGUGGGGGAUGACGGCCUUCGGGUUGUAAACUCCUUUCGUUAGGGACGAAGCCGCAC
rnacentral:rRNA from 1 species